CCUACGGGAGGCAGCAGUGGGGAAUUUUGGACAAUGGGGGCAACCCUGAUCCAGCAAUGCCGCGUGAGUGAAGAAGGCCUUCGGGUUGUAAAGCUCUUUUGUCAGGGAAGAAACGGUGAUCUCUAAUACAGAUUACUAAUGACGGUACCUGAAGAAUAAGCACCGGCUAACUACGUGCCAGCAGCCGCGGUAAUACGUAGGGUGCAAGCGUUAAUCGGAAUUACUGGGCGUAAAGCGUGCGCAGGCGGUUAUAUAAGUCAGAUGUGAAAUCCCCGGGCUCAACCUGGGAACUGCAUUUGAGACUGUAUGGCUAGAGUGUGUCAGAGGGGGGUAGAAUUCCACGUGUAGCAGUGAAAUGCGUAGAUAUGUGGAGGAAUACCGAUGGCGAAGGCAGCCCCCUGGGAUAACACUGACGCUCAUGCACGAAAGCGUGGGGAGCAAACAGGAUUAGAUACCCUGGUAGUCCACGCCCUAAACGAUGUCUACUAGUUGUCGGGUCUUAAUUGACUUGGUAACGCAGCUAACGCGUGAAGUAGACCGCCUGGGGAUACGGUCGCAGNUAAACGUUAAGGAAUUGACGGNUGNGAGNGCGAGNGAGAGAGGAGAGG
rnacentral:rRNA from 1 species